CAAUAGCGUAUAUUAAAGUUGUUGCGGUAAAAAAGCUCGUAGUUGGAUUUCUACCGAAGAUAGCAGGUCGGGUCUUCGACCUUGUAUCUGGUUUUGUCUUUGGUAUCCUCAUAGGGAACGUUUCUGCGCUUUAUUGCGUGGUGCGGUAUCUAUGACUUUUACUUUGAGGAAAUUAGAGUGUUCACGGCAGGCAAACGCCUUGAAUAUAUUAGCAUGGAAUAAUAACAUAGGAUCUUCGUCCUAUUUUGUUGGUUUCUAGGGCUAAGAUAAUGAUUAAUAGGGAUAAUUGGGGGCAUCUGUAUCAACGCGUCAGAGGUGGAAUUCUUGGAUUGCGUUGCGACAAACUACUGCGAAAGCAUUUGCCAAGGAUGUUUUCAUUGA
rnacentral:rRNA from 1 species